rnacentral:hammerhead_ribozyme from 1 species
AUCUAGCUGAUGAGUCCCAAGUAAGACGAAACGCGCAUCCGGGAU